GGUUUGGAUUCAAACCAGCAGCCUGAAGAGGCUCUGUAGCCCCUUACUCAUCACCUGAGCUCUCUUGUCCACCUUGCUCUCCUCCCCGCUGGGUUUCCUUUCAGCCAUUUAAGAAAAGGUUGAUGCUACUCCAGCCAGAGCUUCUCCCAUUGGGAGCUGCUGCAAACACUGUUGGAGCGCUCCUAUCCAGCUCUGCUUUCAAUCUCAGGCAGCCCUGAGUAACCAUCUCUCUGGGAAUUGCACCCCAGCAUACUGCAAUGGCACCGCCAGCAGUGCCCGAGUCCGAGCCUGCAGGCCGAAGCCACGACACAGACGAGGAGCCGGGAGGUAUGUUUUAAAUACUUUUAUUUCUUAAUUUACAUAAAGGUAUAGAUUUGGCUUUAUUUCUCUUUAUACUCUGAGAUUGACAAUCGGUUGCUCUUAAAAAAUAAAAUAGCCAUUUGCUUCUGAAAGAAAUCAGAAAACUAUUUUAUACUCCUGCCUUGUAUAACAAGAAAACCUACGAUAUACUCCCAUACAUCACAUAGUAAAAGUGAUUGCAAGUGCUGGUUUACAAAACAAUAAAGCAAAUAGAGAAGAAACCAAAUAACUAGGGUGUGGGGGAAAGUGAGACAACCUUAGUGUUCCAGUCUACAUAGAGUUUAUUUAUGUCUCCAUCACUAGUUUGUCUCACCCUGAGGUUCGACUGAGAUUAGAGGAUGCUGGCCCCGUACUUCAAGCUUCACUCAGCUGAAGAAACAAGCAGAGAGGUAGUGACUUGCCUGCAGUCCAAGUGGCAGAGCUGGGCCUGGACCCCCACUUUUCCUGUCGACAGGAAUAUGCAGCCUCACAAGAGGGAGCGGGUACUAGCAGACACCCAGAAUGUUACAGCAGAAGGUAGGUUGUACCCGGCCGCCUCCUCUUUAGUGUUUUUCAAACCUCUCUUCUGAGAGUGGUUGGACAGCUUGACUUGACUUAGAGCUUUGUUAUUGCCUUGCCCCCUUUAUCCCAAUUAUCUGGUUUCUUUCUAAGAGAAUAAAUAUUUAAUAGAAGCUCUAAUAGAACAACGCUUGAAAAAUUCCGUCCCGGAAUAGAAAUAUGUAGCUACAAUUCAAAAAAUACCUUCAUCUCUUCAGGUGGCUGAACAUGGAUCACGGUCUGUAACGGGGAAGUGGCAGCCUCAGGAUGGGGGUUCCAAAUUCCCUGCUCCUUCCCCUCCCUUAGUUCUCAUGGCUCGCUACUCUACCUCCUUGGUGCCAGGUCUCUCCUCCUCCAAAUGGAGAAGAAUUCAAUCAGUGAAGGAUCAUUGGUGUGUGGGGGACUGGAACUAAUUCUCCAUUUGCUUACAGCGUGGCUGAACUGGGCCUUGUUUCAUAGGAAGUGAGGUCAGCCCUUCCUACCAAGGAGAUGAAGGUGUAUUUAUUGGCUCUCUUUCCAUUGCAAAUUGAUGGGAAUAAAAUCUCAGUAAACACCGAAGUCCUGCUCUUGAGGGUAAGUGCUGUAACUUUUAAGACAAAGCACUUGAAAUAAUAAUUUAGGAAAUUCAGCUAAUUUUCCCUUGGCCUCUGAGAUCAAGUGACUAAUUGUUGUUUAUGUUUUACAUAAAUUAACAGGGAACAUCUUAAUGAGAAGCACAAAAAUUCAUGUGCUCUAACUCAGGCCAUUGGCUGCCAGACUGCAGAGUUGACAUUUUCCCCGAGCAAUGUUAAUAACAGUCCAAGAUGGGAAAUGAAGCAUUGUUUUGAACUUGCUUUGGUUAUUAUUUUAGUGGCGCACAAGCGCAUUCGCCGCUCUCCUGGGGAUGGGCCAGGAGUGGGGCUUCUGUCUCCAAUUGUUUGCUCAGCCUAUAAGAAAUACUU